rnacentral:rRNA from 1 species
UAGGGAAUAUUGCACAAUGGGCGAAAGCCUGAUGCAGCAACGCCGCGUGCGCGAUGAAGGCCUUCGGGUCGUAAAGCGCUUUUCGGGGAGAUGAGGAAGGACAGUGUCCCCGGAAUAAGUCUCGGCUAACUACGCGCCAGCAGCCGCGGUAACACGUAGGAGGCAAGCGUUAUCCGAAUUUACUGGGCGUAAAGCGCGUGCAGGCGGUUCGGUAAGUUGGAUGUGAAAUCUCCUGGCUCAACUGUGAGAGGUCGUUCAAUACUGUCGGACUAGAGGAUGGUAGAGGGAGGUGGAAUUCCCGGUGUAGUGGUGAAAUGCGUAGAUAUCGGGAGGAACACCAGUGGCGAAAGCGGCCUCCUGGACCAUUCCUGACGCUCAGACGCGAAAGCUAGGGGAGCGAACGG